rnacentral:rRNA from 1 species
GUCGAGAAUCUUUCACAAUGGGGGCAACCCUGAUGGAGCGACGCCGCGUGGAGGAUAAGGUCUUCGGAUUGUAAACUCCUGUCAUGCGUGAACAAGGUUGCUUGGUUAAUACCUGGGCAAAUUGAUGGUAACGCAAGAGGAAGAGACGGCUAACUCUGUGCCAGCAGCCGCGGUAAUACGAAGGUCCCAAGCGUUGUUCGGAAUCACUGGGCGUAAAGGGUGCGUAGGUGGCGUGGUAAGUCAGAUGUGAAAGCCCGGGGCUCAACCUCGGAACUGCAUCCGAUACUGCCAUGCUAGAGUACUGGAGAGGUGACUAGAAUUCUCGGUGUAGCAGUGAAAUGCGUAGAUAUCGAGAGGAAUACCAAAGGCGUAGGCAGGUCACUGGACAGUUACUGACACUGAGGCACGAAGGCCAGGGGAGCGAACGGGAUUAGAAACCCGUGUAGUCC